GACGAACGCUGGCGGCGUGCCUAAUACAUGCAAGUUGAGCGCUGAAGGUUGGUACUUGUCCCGACUGGAUGAGCAGCGAACGGGUGAGUAACGCGUGGGGAAUCUGCCUUUGAGCGGGGGACAACAUUUGGAAACGAAUGCUAAUACCGCAUAAAAACUUUAAACACAAGUUUUAAGUUUGAAAGAUGCAAUUGCAUCACUCAAAGAUGAUCCCGCGUUGUAUUAGCUAGUUGGUGAGGUAAAGGCUCACCAAGACGAUGAUACAUAGCCGACCUGAGAGGGGGAUCGGCCACAUUGGGACUGAGACACGGCCCAAACUCCUACGGGAGGCAGCAGUAGGGAAUCUUCGGCAAUGGACGAAAGUCUGACCGAGCAACGCCGCGUGAGUGAAGAAGGGUUUCGGAUCGUAAAACUCUGUUGGUAGAGAAGAACGUUGGUGAGAGUGGAAAGCUCAUCAAGUGACGGUAACUACCCAGAAAGGGACGGCUAACUACGUG
rnacentral:rRNA from 1 species